rnacentral:rRNA from 1 species
UACGGAGGGGCUAGCGUUGUUCGGAAUUACUGGGCGUAAAGCGCACGUAGGCGGCUUUGUAAGUUAGAGGUGAAAGCCCGGGGCUCAACCCCGGAAUUGCCUUUAAGACUGCAUCGCUUGAAUCCGGGAGAGGUGAGUGGAAUUCCGAGUGUAGAGGUGAAAGUUCGUAGAUAUUCGGAAGAACACCAGUGGCGAAGGCGGCUCACUGGACCGGUAUUGACGCUGGAGGUGACGAAAGCGUGGGGAGCAAACAGG